UACAGAGGGGGCAAGCGUUGUUCGGAAUUACUGGGCGUAAAGGGCGCGUAGGCGGCCUGUUAAGUCGAACGUGAAAUCCCCGGGCUCAACCCGGGAACUGCGUCCGAUACUGGCAGGCUUGAAUCCGGGAGAGGGAUGCGGAAUUCCAGGUGUAGCGGUGAAAUGCGUAGAGAUGUGGAGGAAUACCGAUGGCGAAGGCAGCCCCCUGGGCCAAUACUGACGCUCAUGCACGAAAGCGUGGGGAGCAAACAGG
rnacentral:rRNA from 1 species